ensembl:ncRNA F32A5.9 ncRNA
CAUAAUAUGCUAUACUUUUUGCAUUUUCAGACAUUUCUCGAGGAUUUGGAUUCCUUGGAAAGUUCUGGAACAUUCUUUCGAAGCCAUUCACCAAAAGUCUUGCUCAAGGAGCAGCAACAAGUGUCUACUGUGUUGCUCAUCCGGAAGCGGCAGAGUUUUCUGGAAAGUUCUGGGAAUCGUGUUGGGAUGAUGAAAAGAGUCUUGAUGCGGACAUAGCAAGAGACAUAUCACUUCAAGAUGAACUAUGGGAACACUCGGAAUGCCUUAUUGAUGAAUGGUUCAAAAGUCAAAAACCGAUAUCUACAAUUGGUAAUGAUGAGAGUUCACCUGCCGCUGCGGAUACCUCAAUUUCUUCAUUUGAAGAGAACGAUUAAUGUUUCAUUUAUGUUAACUUCCAAAGCUUACAAGGAAAAAACUUUUAAUAAAUCUUUUAUGCAUAUC